GAUGAACGCUGGCGGCGUGCCUAAUACAUGCAAGUCGAGCGAACAGACGAGGAGCUUGCUCCUCUCACGUUAGCGGCGGACGGGUGAGUAACACGUGUAUAACCUACCUAUAAGACUGGUAUAACUUCGGGAAACCGGAUCUAAUACCGGAUAAUAUAUUGAACCGCGUGGUUCAAUAGUGAAAGUCGGUUUUGCUGUCACUUAUAGAUGCAUCCUCGCCGCUUUAGCGAGUUGGUAAGGUAACGGCUUAUCAAGGCAACGAUGCGUAGCCGACAUGAGAGGGUGGGCAGCCACACUGGAACUGAGACACGGUCCAGACGCAUACAGGAAGCAGCAGUAGGGAAUCUUCCGCAAUGGGCGAAAGCCUGACCGAGAAAGGCCGCGUGAGUGAUGAAGAACGUCGGAUCGUAAAACUCUGUUAUUAGGGAAGAACAAGUGUGUAACUAAGUAUGAGCGUCUUGAAGGUAAAUAAUCAGAAAGCCACGGGUAAAUACGGGC
rnacentral:rRNA from 1 species